rnacentral:rRNA from 1 species
UAGGGAAUAUUAGAAAUGGACGAAAGUCUGAUCUAGCAACACCGCGUGUGCGAAGAAGGCCUUCGGGUUGUAAAGCACUUUUUGGAAGGAUUAGGAAGGAAUGUACUUCCAGAAUAAGUCUCGGCUAACUACGUGCCAGCAGCCGCGGUAACACGUAGGAGGCAAACGUUAUCCGGAUUUACUGGGCGUAAAGCGCGUGUAGGUGGUUCUGUAAGUAGGGCGUGAAAGCUCCUGGCUCAACUGGGAGAGGCCGUUCUAAACUGCAGAGCUAGAGGAUGGUAGAGGGAGGUGGAAUUCCGGGUGUAGCGGUGGAAUGCGCAGAUAUCCGGAGGAACACCAGUGGCGAAAGCGGCUUUCUGGUCUGCACCUGACGCUGAGAGGCGAAGGCCAGGGGAGCGAACGG